rnacentral:lncRNA from 1 species
AGAUAGAGUAAAUGACUUUUUUUCUUUUUCUUUUUAGAGACAGGGUCUCACUCUGCCACUCAGCCUGAAAUGCAGUAACGUGAUCAUAGCUCACUGCAGCCUCGAGUUCCUGGGCUCAAGCAAUGGAAAUAGCCUUUGGGUAGAGUUGUCUUUCAGGAGGUGUAGCCUGGUUGUGGCCUGGGGAGUUUGGCUGUUCUGUGUGGUGUGCCUCCACGGUGUGGUCUCCAGUGAGCUGCUCAGCAGGCCCCCAGCUCAAAAGCCACAAAAAGAAAAGGUGGUCAGAGAGCUUCUCCUACCCUGGAGAAUCCUGUAGGCAACUCUUUCUUCACACUUGGCAGUUUUCCCUCUUCUCUGCCAUGCUCCC